UCGUCUCAGACUAAAUCAUUACCCCAGAAAUUGGAAACCCCUUUUGAUGCUGAUGAUUUGGGAGGUGCUCGAUGCUGAUUUUAGCAACUCUGAGGAAAAUUCUGACCAGGGUGAGAAGGUGCCCACUGAGGUAUAGGACCCAGGGUGGACGGUUGUGGCUAACCGUAAAGGCAAAGCCAAAAUGCAAGAAAGGGAUAGGAGAACUUUUAAAGAAGUUGCUAAGGGAAUCAAAUUUACUGAAGGAGGUGGGUCUCGUGAUGUUGGGGUUAAGUUUUCUCCAGUUGACCAUAUUAGCAAGGGGAAGGGUAGGGCUGUUGUGAUUGCCCCUGCUCAUUCCCAAGAAGGCAGCAGUGCCUUCACUGGUUUCGCUUACAAGAGUCCUAAGAAGAGAACUCGUGAUGAGGUGGAAGUGGAAGAGAAUUAUGCUCCAAGUGUUGAGAUGCAUGGAGAGUAUCUGAGGGAGACUGAACCCUUGGUUGGUAACACCCCUAGCCCCAAUCCAUGAAGAUGUUAUUCUGGAAUAGCCAAGGCAGUGGUUGGCCUGGCUUUAUUUUGCAAGCCCUUUUUUAUAUUAGUACGUCUAGUUUGAAUGUUUUCUAUAUUUUGGAUUCCAGAGCCUCUAGGGUUGAGCUGAGGUUAUUGCUCAGAGGCUUGGUUUUGAUGGUUUCUUUUGUAUCCAUGCCCUUGGUCAUUGUGGAUGGAUAUUCUUAUUGUGGAAUCCUUCUUUUAUUAAUAUAACCAUUUUAGAUU